CCUUUCAGCUCAGGCUGUUGGAAGCCAGCUUUCUAGAAAUGCCAACGAAAAUCUCCACAAUAUACUCCAGGGAAGUCACCCAGCCACUUGGAUUCAGCCGUACGAAGACGGACCAUUUUCGGGCCAAAGACGUAAGAGAACAAUCAUAGGAUCUAAAGAUAAAAAGAGGUCCAGACACUACAAAUACAAGAAGACUAACACAUAACAGG